GUGAUUCGGGGUGCAGCAGGCGCGAAAACUUUGCAAUAAGCGCAAGCUUGACAGGGCUAUCCCGAGUGCCAUCCGCUGAGGAAGGCUUUUACCCAGUCUAGAACGCUGGGGGAAUAAGGAGAGGGCAAGUCUGGUGUCAGCCGCCGCGGUAAUACCAGCUCUCCGAGUGGUGUGGAUGUUUAUUGGGCCUAAAGCAUCCGUAGCUGGCUAAGUUAGUCCCUUGUUAAAUCCACCGAAUUAAUCGUUGGAUUGCGGGGGCUACUGCUUGGCUAGGGGACGAGAGAGGCAGACGGUAUUUCCGGGGUAGGGGUGAAAUCCUAUAAUCCCGGGAAGACCACCAGUGGCGAAGGCUGUCUGCUAGAACGCGCCCGACGGUGAGGGAUGAAAGCUGGGGGAGCGAACCGGAUUAGAUACCCGGGUAGUCCCAGCUGUAAACGAUGCAGACUAGGUGUUUGGACGGCCACGUGCCGUUCUAGUGCCGCAGGGAAGCUGUUAAGUCUGCCGCCUGGGGAGUACGAUCGCAAGAUUGAAACUUAAAGGAAUUGGCGGGGGAGCACAAUCGAAU
rnacentral:rRNA from 1 species